rnacentral:lncRNA from 1 species
GCCUCUUGAGCUGCUUGCUUGGCCUGCUCUCACUCUGUGGAGUGUACAUUCAUUUCAAUAAAUCUGUGCUUUUUUUUUCAUUGUUUUGUUUGUGCAUUUCAUCCAAUUGUUUGUUCAAAAUGCCAAGAAUCUGGACACCCUCCACCAGUAACAGGCAUUGGGAAGAGGAAGGCAGAAAAGCAGAGCGCAAAAUGAAGUGGUAGUGGAAGCUAACUAACAAGAGAACCUUUGAACACGAUGGGACAGAAAUAAGGUCAUGCAUUUUCUACUAUCUGUCACCUGUGGACAACUUGCCACUUCAACAGUUCUGGACACUUUUAAGCUCCCCCGAGGAGAAGAUAGGAAACUUGGACACCCUGUGUGGGAUUGAGAAUCACAAAGGGACAGUCUCACACCUGAUCAAGAUAGAACUGAACUGAACUCUUCAUUCACAAGUGGGAUUCUCGUAAGAGGCAGGAAAGCAGGGACCGUCUGUCACUACCCACAGCAGAAAGAGGUGAACCUUAAUGAGGGAAGAAAACAGAUUCUAUUAGGGGAAAAAAACAUUUAAUCAGAAAAUAAGGCUCUGGAAAGAAAAGUCCAAUUGGGGCUUUGUCUGAAGAAAUAACAGACUAUUUUUCUGCCAGAGAAAGCAAGUCCAAGGAAGGAAUUUUCAGAUUGACCAAAGAGUAUUGGUCAGCAUCAUUAGUACUUUCAGUGGGAAAUAAUUGAAAAUAAACUAGAACAAAAGUUCCCCAGGUGUGGUUCCAGGACCAGCAACUGAAACAUCACCUGGGAACUGUUAAAAAUGCAAAUUCUUGAGCUCUCCACCAGAAUCACUGAAUCAGAAACUCUGAAAUGGGACCCAAUAAUCAGUAGCUUAACAAGC